CAAAGGAUGCCCGAUAAUUGAGGAAUAUUUUGAUAGAAUAUAAGAUGUAGAAUAUUAAUCUACUCCUUUGA
rnacentral:tRNA from 1 species